rnacentral:tRNA from 1 species
GUUUUAAUAGUUUAAAUUAAAAACAUUGAUCUUGUAAAUCAAAAUUGAAUUUUUUUCUUAAAACU